GCCAGACACCCCGGCACCCCCCGCCUCCUUCCUUCCCUUCCUUCCUUCCGCCCGCGCCGCCGCCUGGGUCACCGCCCCGGCGCCGGAACCGCCGCUUGCGUCAUCACCCUCAGCCUGCAGCCCGCUGCGCCUCGGGAACUGUGAACCCCAGCUUGUAUUGUUUCAACACACAUACCAAAGGAACUCGCUCACUGGACCUCCCUGGUGCCUAGCAGGGAAGAUCCUCAGAAAUGGCAGCGAGUUUCCUGUGAGCAUCUCAGGUGGUGUGGCCUUGUGAGUAAAGAAAAUAAAAACAAUCCAGACAGAUGGGGAAUUUACAAAGAGCAGUGCUAGCCCAAGAGAAGUGCAUAGAGUUACAGCAGAA